AAACUGAAAGGCAGAGAUAACUGUGAGGUGCAGUGAGCAGAACCCCUUAUCUGAAAUGUGUGGUCUGACCUGGGUGCCAAAUCUGCUCCCUCAUGUCAUGAGAACUUAGACCCUUUAGCAAGAGGAUGUGAAGAUGCAGACCCUAUGCUAUUGGUAGGAAAGCAGACCAGUGCUGUCAUGGAAAAUACUGAGAAUGCCCCUCAAAACAUGAAGAUACAUCUACCAUUGAUGCAGAAACUGACUGCUGUUUCUCUACCUGACCAAAUCAGGCUCCAACACUAGGAUCUACUGGUCCAGGAUUCUAAGCAUCCACCACCUGAGCCCCCAGUUCCCUUCUGGGGUUUCGAGAAUGAAGUUCGGCAUCUCCAUAUAUGUCUAAUGACACCUUUGGACAAUCAAAUGCUGGCAUUUCUUGGGCAUCCAGAUGAGUGAAGCUGCUGUGGAAGAAGGAACCACCUGGCCAAUUGCAACAUCACCACGAUGUGGGUUGGUGGCCCAUUGCACAGUGCUACUGAAAUGACAAGUUCAGCAAAGACACCAAUACUGUGUAAAGGUAUCAUUGGCACUACAUAAAGCCAAGCCAGACUUGGAGGAAAAGAAGUCAAGACAGAAGUUAUGAACAAAGACACAUGUGGAUAACAUCUUACUGAAUAUGGACUUAGCAAUAAUAGAAUAUUUAUUAUUAUUAUUUAGUCAAUUUGAUGAUUAUGAGCAUUUUAUUACUUUUCAUAAUGAUAUCACUUUCCCAGGAUUAGUGAAGUAUACAUUUUUUUGUAGGAAAGAAAGCUGUGAAUGCUGUGGAUGUAGAAACACAUAUGUCUUUAUAAGUUCUAGUCUCAGAGUGUAGUAAAGGUUGACAUGAUGUCAUCAUGAAGUUCUUACAAAUGUUUCUCAUAACUUAGAAAUUUCUGAAUCUGUUAUUUAUUGCAAUUUUUCAAAGCUGAUCUAAACUCUUCAUCUGAAUGAAAAGCUGUGA
rnacentral:lncRNA from 1 species